rnacentral:rRNA from 1 species
AUUGAACGCUGGCGGCAGGCUUAACACAUGCAAGUCGAGCGGGGUGAUGGUGCUUGCACUAUCACUUAGCGGCGGACGGGUGAGUAAUGCUUAGGAAUCUGCCUAUUAGUGGGGGACAACAUCUCGAAAGGGAUGCUAAUACCGCAUACGUCCUACGGGAGAAAGCAGGGGAUCACUUGUGACCUUGCGCUAAUAGAUGAGCCUAAGUCCGAUUGACACGUUGGUGGGGUAAAGGCCUACCAAGGCGACGAUUUGUAGCGGGAAUGAGAGGGUGAUCCGCCACACUGGGACUGAGCCACGGCCCAGACUCCUACGGGAGGCAGCAGUGGUGAAUAUUGGACAAUGGGGGGAACCCUGAUCCAGCCAUGCCGCGUGUGUGAAGAAGGCCUUAUGGUUGUAAAGCACUUUAAGCGAGGAGGAGGCUCUUUUGGUUAAUACCCAAGAUGAGUGGACGUUACUCGCAGAAUAAGCACCGGCUAACUCUGUGCCAGCAGCCGCCGUAA